AACUGGAUGAGAAAAGUGUCAGGGACGCAAGACACCCACCUGGGUUCUAGUGACAGCAUCAAAGACAAAGAAAUGACACUCCAGGAAAGAAGCUUAACUAAUGGCUCUUGUCCUAGCUGACAUCCCUAGAGGUUGUGUCCUUCUUAGGCAAGAGGAUUGAACCCAGCCUAUGAAGACCCCAAAGCCUGAGAAUCCCGUCUCCUGACGACCUCCAGGUCACUGUGUCUUCGGGUCUGGACUGCAUGGCAACCCCCGGGAGGCUUCUUUUUUACUCUCGGAAUUCGAAGAUCCUGGCCUCACCGUCCCUUCCCUACCCUGAGCUCGGGGUGUGGAGAGACCCGCGAAAACGCGGCUGGUCCCCGGCGCGCUCGCCCGAGUGCUGAUCAGAACGCGCGUGCGCACCGGGAGCCCCGCCCCCCGCCCUUCAACCGCGCGGCGGGAAGGUAGUCGCUCGCUGCCCCGCCGUCCCACCACCUCGGGGAUGCCCUUUGUCGGCCCUGAGUCCUCCGGACACACUCACCCGCUCUCCGCGAGUUCCCUGAAGCCUCACAGAGCCAGCGGCCCGGAGGUGCGGGUCGCAACCUUUCCCGCCACUCGGCUGAGAGCGACCAGUCUGCGCCUGCGCGGGCGGGAACGGGGCGGGGCGAACGGGGCGGGGCGAGCCGGGCAGAGCCACUGGACUCCGGACGAGAGAGGGAGGAUUGGAUAAGAAGGGAAACCCAAAAGGACCGUUUAUGUGAGUCGGGCAUCUGCGCUAAAGUAAAAACCAAAACGCUAUGGGUUUUCUACUGAAUUAUAAUAAGAAUCAAGGUCGAAUUAAGGGAGAAUUUACAGACGUACUUCCCCAUCCAGUCAAGUGGACUAUUCCAAAGUCUUAAAUGGCUAGUUAGAAAAGAUGUGUUUUAUUUGGGAGGAAGUGGGGAGUUUGGUGUUUGGGUUCGAGUUUUGGGUUGUCUGUCUUCUUAUAGGCAUAUGUUUUAUAGCUAGCAAAGUAUAUACAGGAGGCUCAGAAUAGAGAGAUCUGCAAUAAAUAUUCCUUUGUUCGUUCAAGGUCACCUGUGUCUCUGUUGAGAAGAUGCUGUUUUACCAACAAAUACAAGAUAGGGCUCCAAAAGAAAAAGAAAAAUCAUCUCCGAAUUAAGCAUUUAGAUAGAGGAGAUCGAUACCUGGGUCAUGAGGGAGAGUUAGCAGAAAGCAGACAUACAAAAAUAAAAGACUAUGGAGCUAGUGAUAAAAGUACAGAGAUGCCAUUUGCAAAGUUCAGUUUGCUCUAAAUGAAUCCCCCCCCCGUCUUGCCCCUCAACUCCUGUAAAUUUGCUUCAGACACCAGAUUUCCUGUUUUAGCCUCAGAGAGCAAUUCUGGGCUUCAGUACCGUUUGUCCAAGGCCUUUUAAACUUGCCUAACCCCUGUUUCUGCUGGAAGGUCCGUAGUUCAAGGCUUCUGAAUGAACACACAGCCCAGCCGUUGGAUGUAGGCAGGCUUAUGUGGCUUUACAAAAUAACUCAAGGCCUGUGUUUACUUUUCUCUGGGACGAGCAUCCAUGAGAUCCGUAGGCUAUAGUCUCCAACUCCCUCAAAACUUAGGUACACUUGCGUGGCGAUCUGGAAAUAAAAUCUUGGAUUCCUCUCCCAACCCCUGGAAUGCCUUCCCUCCUCCUUUCUGUCUUAUGUCUGCUUCCUGAGAGGAAGGACACCCCACCCACCCACCCCCGUGACCCCUCAAAAAUCAAGGUCCAUAUACUUGACUGGAAGCAGGGUAAAGGCCAGAAACUUGGGUUCCCUGUGGUCACCAAACUGGGGUGGGGAAUGACAUACAUGUUGACACCUCUUUCCCCUCUCCUAGCUUCUGUGCCCGCAAACUCAGACACGGCCACACGCACCCACAUUCAUAUGAACAGUCGUGCACACACGGCGAAGGUAGCUGGAGUGGGGAGGAAGGGAAGUUUGCACCAACCAGUCGUGAAUGCAACUUGAAAGAUUUCACACAGCAAAAGGAAAAAAAAGAAAAAGAAAAACGUAAGUUAAAAAAUAAAGAAGUACAUGCCCCUC
ensembl:lincRNA